rnacentral:miRNA from 1 species
ACUUGAUUAUGAGAGAGAGAGAGAGAGAGAGAGAGAGAGAGGUGGUAUGGCACCUGAGUUGAUUUAUAAUGCAUGUUGAUAAGAUCUCAAAUAGAAGUGGGGUACGUACUCUGCAAAUUUUGGCCUUGUGUUUGCUUCACCACAAACCUUUUCUUCUCUUUCUCUCUCUCUCUCUCUCUCUCUCUCUCUCUCU